rnacentral:rRNA from 1 species
CAGGCGUGAACAGCACUAGCCCUUGGUGCCGUCCGCUAAGGAUGGCUUUUCUCUGCUGUAAGAAGGCGGAGGAAUAAGGAGAGGGCAAGUCUGGUGUCAGCCGCCGCGGUAAUACCAGCUCUCCGAGUGGUAGGGAUGAUUAUUGGGCCUAAAGCGUUCGUAGCCGGCCUUCCAAGUCUUUCGUUAAAUCCAGCGAUUCAAUCGUUGGACUGCGGGAGAUACUGUUAGGCUAGGGGGCGGGAGAAGCCGACGGUAUUUCUGGGGUAGGGGUAAAAUCCUAUAAUCCCAGGAGGACCACCAGUGGCGUAGGCGGUCGGCUAGCACGCGCUCGACGGUGAGGGACGAAAGCUGGGGGAGCAAACCGGAUUAGAUACCCGGGUAGUCCCAGCUGUAAACGAUGCGGGCUAGGUGUUGGAGCGGCUACGAGCCGCUUCAGUGCCGCAGGGAAGCCAUUAAGCCCGCCGCCUGGGGAGUACGGCCGCAAGGCUGAAACUUAAAGGAAUUGGCG